GGUCCUACGGGACGCAGCAGUGGGGAAUAUUGGACAAUGGGGGGAACCCUGAUCCAGCGACGCCGCGUGAGUGAAGAAGUAUUUCGGUAUGUAAAGCUCUAUCAGCAGGGAAGAUAAUGACGGUACCUGACUAAGAAGCCCCGGCUAACUACGUGCCAGCAGCCGCGGUAAUACGUAGGGGGCAAGCGUUAUCCGGAUUUACUGGGUGUAAAGGGUGCGUAGGUGGCAGUGCAAGUCAGAUGUGAAAGCCCGGGGCUCCACCCCGGUACUGCAUUUGAACCUGUCCAGCUG
rnacentral:rRNA from 1 species